AGUAAAAUCAGCUAAAUAAGCUUUUGGGCCCAUGCCCCAAACAUGUUGGUUAAAAUCCUUCUUCUACUA
rnacentral:tRNA from 1 species